rnacentral:tRNA from 7 species
GUCCCAGUAGCUCAAUUGGAUAGAGCAUCCCCCUCCUAAGGGGAAGGCUGGCAGUUCGAACCUGCCCUGGGACACCA